UGCGGGGUCUGCUAAUUGGUAGGCAGGUGGCCUCUGAAGCCACAAGUCCUGGUUCGAAUCCAGGCCCCGCAGCAA
rnacentral:tRNA from 1 species